rnacentral:pre_miRNA from 1 species
UGGACAGAUUAUUGUAUUCGACCCUAUUUACCGAGUGAAAUAGGGGAUUACAUUGUUUUAAAACGGAAAGUGAAUCAAUUAACAUAACAGACUCCU